GGGAGACCUAAUUCGGGUAUAAGACGAAAAAAGAGUAGUCGAAACCAAGAAUCAAUCCCAAAAGGUCGGAACGAGGUAUGUGGCUUUCAAACUAGGUUCUGGGUUCACACAAGACCUGAAUCAGGAACAAGGGCUAUUAGCUCAGGUGGUUAGAGCGCACCCCUGAUAAGGGUGAGGUCCCUGGUUCGAGUCCAGGAUGGCCCACCUGCACAGGUGGCAAAAACAAAGAAGCGAGGAAUCAGCACCUUAUCUUAUCUAUAUAUAAGAGAGAAUGCUGGCUCUGAGUAAAGAGUCCAGAGGAACCUUGAAAACUGCAUAGAGCUAGGUGAAAAAGCCAAAAAAGAAGACCGCAAGGUCAAGCUAAUAAGGGCUAACGGUG
rnacentral:tRNA from 3 species